UUUAAUAUGGCAGACAAGUGCAUUGGAUUUAAGACCCAAACAUAAAGUUUUAACCUUUUAUUAGAA
rnacentral:tRNA from 1 species